AAGACUAUAGACCUGCGGAGUACCUGCGGAAGGAUCAUUAUCAGGAAAGAGUGGCUUCGUGUCCCUUUUCCAUUCACCCUUGUGUUUACUACAAACAUGUCUUUUCUUUGGCAAGACGUCUUGAUUUGGGUAACCAAACCGAGCCAUUGACUUGAUAUCAAGUGAAUGUGUUUUGCUUGCCAAAGUUUUUAACUCUAUAACUUUUGAAGUCUGAGUGUAAAACAAAUAAAUUAAAACUUU
rnacentral:misc_RNA from 1 species